AGUGCUUUAUAUCAUCUGUACAAUAACAGAUGGAAAAUAUUUUUUGAAGAAGCCAUACGCUUUUUAUUUUACUAGUUUAACCUUAGUUUUUAAAACUAAUUUUCACAUAGCAAAUUCACGAACAGCUAUAAGCAGAAAUAUUGAGUUCAGAAUUAUAAAAAAUCUUUCACUUUACAAGUCAACCGCAAAAAAUUCUACAUUUAAAAGUUAGCAGACAGGAAAAUGUUCAUUUAGCCAUUCCCUGCAUGCGUUCCUGCAUUUCAUAGCCACUGUUUGUGUGGCAGUUCGACGGAACUGUCCGAGCAAUAGACGAGCAGGAAAACGACACCUACACAGGAAAGAAAACUGUUGAAAAUUUUGUAUUUACUCGACUGGUCAGAGAAAAGCCAAGCGUGCGGCGCCAGAGUAUACUGAGGGGAGAGUCGAGCGAAAUGUAGCGUAGAAUAUAAAGAAACUCAAAGCUGCUGCAGAAAUAUUUACGCACAAAUUCAGUAAAAACAACAAUAACAAUACGCACACAAGUAUGCACAUGGAUGUUUAAAACAAGAGAGCCAAACUAGCAGAAAAUUGUAGAAAAGUGGAAAAUCAUUUGCAAGCAAAAAGGCAGCAAAGUGUCAGAAUGUUUAGCAAGCGCCUGGGGCGAAGUGAAGAUGAGAUGCAGAGAGCCGGAACAGUCAAGCAGUUUUGGCAGAUGGACCCAACAGCAGCGGGUGGCGAAGGCGAAGAGCUCUGAAGUUGCGGCUAGUAAGGCAAAGGCAUGCUAGAAAUGUAAGAAAACCAAGACUAAGACUCGGUUUAAACACUUCAGCAGAGCAGACAAACAAAAACAAACACUUGUCCCUCGGAACAAGCCACUGGCCACUUCACAGUAUGCUGUGCACGGUGCACACACAUAAGGACGAGAAGGGUUCAGUUUGCCAACGCGUAGUGUGAAAUUUAUGUGUAUUAUGCUCUUCAAGGAUGCAAGAUUAUGUGUGUGUGUGUGUUUGUGUGUGGAAUUUUUGAAAUGGGAAAAGUGGCAAAUGUGUUUGAGCAACAAUAAAUUACAGCAUGUCGGACCGCUGGUUACGCAAUGUGGAAAUAACUAAGUGUGCUCAGCGAUCGAAGGCGGCAGCACAUUUGUAGCAGAUGCAGUUCA